rnacentral:rRNA from 1 species
CGAGUUGGCGAGCGGGUGAGUAAUACAUCGGAACGUGCGAUCGUGGGGGAUAACGGAGCGAAAGCUUUGCUAAUACCGCAUACGAUCUACGGAUGAAAGCGGGGGAUCUUCGGACCUCGCGCGGACGGAGCGGCCGAUGGCAGAUUAGGUAGUUGGUGGGAUAAAAGCUUACCAAGCCGACGAUCUGUAGCUGGUCUGAGAGGAUGAUCAGCCACACUGGGACUGAGACACGGCCCAGACUCCUACGGGAGGCAGCAGUGGGGAAUUUUGGACAAUGGGGGCAACCCUGAUCCAGCCAUGCCGCGUGCAGGAUGAAGGCCUUCGGGUUGUAAACUGCUUUUGUACGGAACGAAAAGACUCUGGUUAAUACCUGGGGUCCAUGACGGUACCGUAAGAAUAAGCACCGGCUAACUACGUGCCAGCAGCCGCGGUAAUACGUGGGGUGCAAGCGUUAAUCGGAAUUACUGGGCGUAAAGCGUGCGCAGGCGGUGAUGUAAGACAGAGGUGAAAUCCCCGGGCUCAAACCUGGGGAACUGGCUUUGUGACUGGGAUCCGGUUGGGAGUUGCGGGCAAAGGGGGGGAUUGGGAAUUCCCCGGGUU